UACGGAGGAGCUAGCGUUGUUCGGAAAUACUGGGCGUAAAGCGCACGUAGGCGGCGCAGCAAGUCAGGGGUGAAAUCCCGGGGCUCAACCCCGAACUGCCCUUGAAACUGCAGUGCUGGAAUCUGGAGAGGCGAGUGGAAUUCCGAGUGUAGAGGUGAAAUUCGUAGAUAUUGGAAAGAACACCAGUGGCGAAGGCGACUCGCUGGACAAGUAUUGACGCUGAGGUGCGAAAGCG
rnacentral:rRNA from 1 species